CGUUCUCAUUGUUUCUUAAAGAUGCAGUUCUCCUCGACAUCCAACGCUAGACUACCCUCCUCCUUGUGGCUCCAUCUCCACCUCCCACCACCUGGAAUAAAGACAAAAAGAAACAAAGAACAACAAGAAACAAUUCCAGAACGCUAAACUGACACCCAAGCCUGACUCCAGUUCUUCCCUCCCUACCCUCUAUUCACUGAUGUGUUCCGCUCUCGUUUGUGUUGGGUCCCUCCUUUCCAUUUUUCAACUUACUUCUGGGAAAGAUGCCACGUGACCAUGUAUUUUUGAGUGUAACCUGCACAAGCAAACCGGUGGCAAUGUUUUAGGUAUGGCUUUGUCAUUAGUCGUCCUUUAAGUACACUUUUGAGUAUACUUAAGACCAUCCUUAAGGUACACUGGGGGUCCGAUGGGGGGGGGGGGGUCCUGAGCCUACCUUGAAGAAGCUGGCCCUCUUGCGUUGAGGCUGACUGAGUAAGCUGGUAGACAUGAUGUGGUUUACUCCAGUCCGAUGCUGUCCCUCUUAACGUUGGCUGCCUGGAUGCCUGAGAAAAGAUAGGACAGGAAAUGAAACCGCAUUACUGUGUGAUCAACAGAAAAAAACUCAAAGUAGGUAUGCACUAAUGUAGUAAACAUCUGUAUUUACUUUUGCUUAAAUAUAGAUCCUCAAUUAUUCAAAAUCAUGCUUACUAUCCAUUUAGUUGCCCUGAAAAGCUGUUUGUUGAUUGGGUGCAUAACAGUGCAAAAGAGUGACAUUAAGUAUUUGUAUAUUUGUAAAGUGUGGCUUUAAUUUGAAAGCACAAAGGACAGCACAUACAGGCCUUUUUUCCAAAACAUGAAUUCUAAAAGUCAAAAAGUCUGUUUACAUGACUUUGUCCCCUUCCGCUACGUUAUACUGCUGAUCUUUCUCUCAAUACAGCAAUGUUGCUCUGUUCAGUUCUGGCAACAAGUAGCACGAUCCCCAUCCUCUAAUUGCCAUUGGGAAUCUAGUGAAAACACUCCUUUACUCACAAGAAAUCAGCCGACUAAAAAGAGACAGAGAAACCCAAUGUCGGAGGAACAGAAGAAGAGAAAAGGGAGACUGACCGACAGAGAGGCCAGACACGAGUAAACGUUGGGCAAGCUUUUCAGGAAUAGCGUGAACUGAAAGAAAAAGAAGACUGCAAACCAGACGCCGACUCGGCCGUGUUGCUUUUGAAAUUGAAAGUACCCUUGGGUGAACUUUGUCUUCGUGGUAUUCUUGAUUCUGAUAGUCUCUGUACAAAUGUGUUUGCUCAACCAUUUAGUUGUGAGCCCUGUAAAAA
ensembl:lncRNA